GCGCCCGUAGCUCAAUUGGAUAGAGCAUCUGACUACGGAUCAGAAGGUUGGGGGUUCGAGUCCCUCCGGGCGCG
rnacentral:tRNA from 3 species